ACAUUGUUUUUAUUUACAACGAUAAUUAUAUAUUUGUUGCGACUCGCGCCGCAGUAAUCAGUGCACUAUCGCGUCCAGGCCGUUGGCCGCUCGGUAGUGGACAGCAGAGGAUCGCGUGCGCACCACGCUUUCCUCCACCGCCCGCAGACAGUGCGUUGGCGCGCGCCACCCGAGCGGGACAUGACUCUACCGCACGAAAUGGCCCGCGUAACCUCACACAUAGAAAUCAUCGAGCCCGACCCUGAAGAUUGCCCCUCCGGCGCCCUCCCACCUGAAGGGAACGUCAAGUUUCGCAAUUACCGAAUGCUCAGCGAGAACCUCCGCGCGUACACGCCUACGGGCGAUAUUCACACAUCGCCUGUAAAAGGAAAACUCGUAUCGAAAUUCGACGUGUGCGCGACCAUCUCGCCGCCGCGCGCGCGAAUUCUCGAGCUGUUGCGGCCAGAGGACCCCGGUAGGGACGCGUUGGAGGCCAUCAUCCGGCCGGCACCGAGGAGAGGCCUCACGCGUCCCUUCGAUGACGACACGAGGCGAUUUCUUCAGCGCGCCCUGCUAUCACCGAGCCCGCAAGGAUUGUCGGCCGCUGCCUCUCCUGAACCUACAGGAUACAGGUUACCAGAUAAUAUAGAAAGAAUAGACAAUUGUGAAACGACUGAGGAGACUGAAGACCGGUUACAAGUGAACUUCGAUCAAUCUCAAUUAAAGACUGACAAAUCGUUAGCGGACGAGUUGAGGGAAGCGGAGGAAGAAGAGCGUAACGGGAGAAGUGUGCGAAGAGAUCUGUUGAGAGAGUUUAGGAGACGCGGCGGAGGCUUGCGGGAGGCGUUUGAGCGCGAGCGGAUGGGGAAGCUAGCGUUAUCUGUAGAGGACGACGAGGAGUGGACGGAAGACGGGUUGACGAUUGCUGCGCGACGCCUGGACGCGUUACUGGCCGAGUCGCGUGACUUGCACGACGAGCUCGCCACCAUCCACGAAGACAUCCAGACGCAGAGUGCGCGCGCAUGUCGAUGUACGGCGGCGGCGCGUGCGCUGUUGGCGGAGUGGGGCGCGCUGCGGUACCUGGACGACGUGGUGGCGCUGCUCCGCGGCAACGUGACGCAGGCGCACCGCGCCAGGUCCUGGCCAUUCGCGCUCGGCGGGCGCGAACCACAAAGGAACUAUGUUAUUUGAUAUCAGACAAGGCGAUAUGACGAGCCGGAGAUCAGCGCAGCGUCCCCAACCUCUACGCAAAAUAACGUGUGUUUACUGAAAUCGAAAGACUGCAUGAAACGCGUUUAAGAUUACUUUAUAUACAUAUCUUUGGCCAAGUGAAGCCCACCGUAAAUUAAAGAGUGAAACAUUCAUCAUGAGGCUCCGGUUCACCAACUCAUGGAACGAUUUAGUUUUUUCAUUAAGAUCUUACGUGAGAUUAGUAUUGCAUAAUUAUGCUUUCAGAUAAUAAGUAAUAUCGAUUAAUGUAAUUACAAUUGAACAAUCGAAUCACAUAUAUUUUUUAAUUAAUUGAUAUUUUUUUUCUAAAUUUAUAUAAAGAGACUUAUUCUUAUACUCAAUUAUUAUACAUAAUCAAAAUGUAGUUAUUAUAGAUCUCUAAACUAAAACCAAACACAAAAUGUUUAAAUUAGGGUUAUAAUUUAGUCACAA